rnacentral:rRNA from 1 species
UACGUAGGGUGCAAGCGUUGUCCGGAAUUAUUGGGCGUAAAGAGCUCGUAGGCGGUCUGUCGCGUCUGCUGUGAAAACCCGAGGCUCAACCUCGGGCCUGCAGUGGGUACGGGCAGACUAGAGUGCGGUAGGGGAGAAUGGAAUUCCUGGUGUAGCGGUGGAAUGCGCAGAUAUCAGGAGGAACACCGAUGGCGAAGGCAAUUCUCUGGGCCGUAACUGACGCUGAGGAGCGAAAAGCGUGGGGGAGCGAAACAGGG